rnacentral:rRNA from 1 species
AUUGAACGCUGGCGGCAGGCCUAACACAUGCAAGUCGAGCGGAUGAAGGGAGCUUGCUCCUGGAUUCAGCGGCGGACGGGUGAGUAAUGCCUAGGAAUCUGCCUGGUAGUGGGGGAUAACGUCCGGAAACGGGCGCUAAUACCGCAUACGUCCUGAGGGAGAACGUGGGGGAUCUUCGGACCUCACGCUAUCAGAUGAGCCUAGGUCGGAUUAGCUAGUUGGUGGGGUAAAGGCCUACCAAGGCGACGAUCCGUAACUGGUCUGAGAGGAUGAUCAGUCACACUGGAACUGAGACACGGUCCAGACUCCUACGGGAGGCGGCAGUGGGGAAUAUUGGGCAAUGGGCGAAAGCCUGAUCCAGCCACGCCGCGUGUGUGAAGAAGGUCUUCGGAUUGUAAAGCACUUUAAGUUGGGAGGAAGGGCAGUAAGUUAAUACCUUGCUGUUUUGACGUUACCAACAGAAUAAGCACCGGCUAACUUCGUG